rnacentral:rRNA from 1 species
AUUGAACGCUGGCGGCAUGCUUUACACAUGCAAGUCGAACGGUAACAGGGUGCUUGCUCCGCUGACGAGUGGCGAACGGGUGAGUAAUGCAUCGGAAUGUACCGUGUAAUGGGGGAUAGCUCGGCGAAAGCCGGAUUAAUACCGCAUACGCCCUGAGGGGGAAAGUGGGGGUCCGAAAGGCCUCACGUUAUACGGGCAGCCGAUGUCUGAUUAGCUGGUUGGUGAGGUAAAGGCUCACCAAGGCGUCGAUCAGUCGCGGGUCUGAGAGGAUGAUCCGCCACACUAGAACUGAGACACGGCCCAUGCUCCUGAGGGAGGCAGCAGUGGGGAAUUUUGGACAAUGGGCGCAAGCCUUAUCCAGCAAUGCCGCGUGUCUGAAGACGGCCUUCGGGUUGUAAAGGACUUUUGUCCGGGAGAAAGUCCUAGCGGUUAAUAACCGCUGGGUCUGAGAGUACCGGAAGAAUAAGCACCGGCUAACUACGUG